UCGAGCGAGAGUCUUCGGACUCGAGCGGCGAACGGGUGAGUAACACGUAGGAAAUCUGCCGUAAAGACUGGGAUACCAGACCGAAAGGUUUGCUAAUACCGGAUAUGAAUUCGAGAGGCAUCUCUUGAAUUUGAAAGCUGCGUUUGCAGCACUAUACGAUGAUCCUGCGGCGCAUUAGUUAGUUGGUGAGAUAACAGCCCACCAAGACGAGGAUGCGUAGCCGACCUGAGAGGGUGAUCGGCCACAAUGGAACUGAGACACGGUCCAUACUCCUACGGGAGGCAGCAGUAAGGAGUUUUCGGCAAUGGGGGAAACCCUGACCGAGCAAUACCGCGUGAGUGAUGAAGGUCUUCGGAUCGUAAAACUCUGUUGUAAGGGAAGAAUGAUAAGAAUAGGAAAUGAUUUUUAUUUGACCGUACCUUACGAGGAAGCCACGGCUAACUACGUGCCAGCAGCCGCGGUAAUACGUAGGUGGCAAGCGUUAUCCGGGAUUAUUGGGCGUAAAGAGUGAGCAGGCGGCCGUUUAAGUCUGAAGUCAAAUGCAGUAGCUCAACUACUGUUCGCUUUGGAAACUGGAUGGCUAGAGUUCGGGAGAGGUAAAUGGAACUUCAUGUGUAGCGGUGAAAUGCGUAGAUAUAUGAAAGAACACCAGUGGCGAAGGCGAUUUACUAGACCGAUACUGACGCUCAGUCACGAAAGCGUGGGUAGCAAAUAGGAUUAGAUACCCUAGUAGUCCACGCCGUAAACGAUGAGUACUAAGUGUUGGGGUUACCCAGCGCU
rnacentral:rRNA from 1 species